rnacentral:tRNA from 1 species
AUUCGGGGUUCGUAAUUAUGCGGAUAAAGUAAUCUCUUUUGAUUUUUACAAGAAA